rnacentral:rRNA from 1 species
AGAGGGAUAGCCCAGAGAAAUUUGGAUUAAUACCUCAUAGUAUAUAUGAAUGGCAUCAUUUAUAUAUUAAAGUCACAACGGUGAAAGAUGAGCAUGCGUCCCAUUAGCUAGUUGGUAAGGUAACGGCUUACCAAGGCAACGAUGGGUAGGGGUCCUGAGAGGGAGAUCCCCCACACUGGUACUGAGACACGGACCAGACUCCUACGGGAGGCAGCAGUGAGGAAUAUUGGACAAUGGGCGCAAGCCUGAUCCAGCCAUGCCGCGUGCAGGAUGACGGUCCUAUGGAUUGUAAACUGCUUUUAUACGAGAAGAAACCCUCCGACGUGUCGGAGCUUGACGGUAUCGUAAGAAUAAGGAUCGGCUAACUCCGUGCCAGCAGCCGCGGUAAUACGGAGGAUCCAAGCGUUAUCCGGAAUCAUUGGGUUUAAAGGGUCCGUAGGCGGUCAGGUAAGUCAGUGGUGAAAGCCCAUCGCUCAACGGUGGAACGGCCAUUGAUACUGCCUGACUUGAAUUAUUAGGAAGUAACUAGAAUAUGUAGUGUAGCGGUGAAAUGCUUAGAGAUUACAUGGAAUACCAAUUGCGAAGGCAGGUUACUACUAA